AGCUGUGAAUGGGAAGUCCAAGAAUCUAGUAGUUCGUCGCUCAGUCCCACGAGGCCAGUUGGUUUAGCUGGUAAAGAAAUAGAAAUAGGUUCCAACAGACGUACUGGCAAGUAAAUGCAAGCAGGCGAAGAAAAGUGAGCCUUCCUUCUUCCAGGGUCCUUAUAUGGGCCUCCAGCACGCUUGUCAGGAUUGGGAAACGAGAAAUCUGCAUACACCAGAGACCAGCCUAACUUCACAGUGGUCUCCAGAAAAACCCAAGCUAUACGGUGAAUUCUUGUUUCAAAAAGCCAACCGUGGGGUGGAGAGACAGCUCACAAGCCGCCCAGGGAGUCCUCAGAUCCAUAGUGAAACCGCAAGUAGCCGUUGGGGACCUUUCGUUGAUGUCGCACAGAGGGAUCCAUGAAGUUGCCGGCCCCACUCAGCACAUAGCCCACACCGUUCUCGUCCUGAAGAUACUGGGGGCAAAGGAUACAAGGGCCCUGUGAUGCAUAUCUUCUUUAUUACCUUCAGUUGAAGAUGUCUGCAAACCCUUGGAAUGCGCCCUAAGUUUUAGAAGUCUGCUGUUAUCUCAGAAGCAAUUAAGCAGUCCCAUUAUAAAAGGUCUUUGC
rnacentral:lncRNA from 1 species